UGGGGAAUAUUGGACAAUGGGGGCAACCCUGAUCCAGCGAUGCCGCGUGAGUGAAGAAGGCCUUCGGGUCGUAAAGCUCUUUAGGUUGGGAAGAAGGGUGUUGGUUGAAUACGCCGACACUUUGACUGUACCGACAGAAUAAGCACCGGCAAACUCUGUGCCAGCAGCCGCGGUAAUACAGAGGGUGCGAGCGUUAAUCGGAAUUACUGGGCGUAAAGGGUGCGUAGGCGGUGUAGUGGGUGUGAUGUGAAAGCCCCGGGCUUAACCUGGGAAGUGCAUCGCAAACUACUAGACUAGAGUAUAUGAGAGGGUGGUGGAAUUUCCGGUGUAGCGGUGAAAUGCGUAGAGAUCGGAAGGAACGUCGAUGGCGAAGGCAGCCACCUGGCAUAAUACUGACGCUGAGGCACGAAAGCGUGGGGAGCGAACAG
rnacentral:rRNA from 1 species